rnacentral:snRNA from 1 species
GUGCUCGCUUCAGCAGCACAUAUACUAAAAUUGGAAUGAUACAGAGAUUAGCAUGGCCCCUGUGCAAGGCCCCUGCGCUAUAUUAAAAUAAAAUGAGUAAACAA